GCCUGCUUCUCCCUCUGCCUGUGUCUCUGCCUCUCUCUCUCUCUCUCUCCCCCCCCCCCCCCGUGUGACUAUCAUAAAUAAAUAAAAAUUAAAAAAAACUUUUUUUUUUUUUUUACUAAUUACUGAGUCUCUUAAAGUUUCUGCUCUUCUCUAAGGUUCUCCCCUCCUUUCUUAAGCAAGUUGGCAUUUGAAUGCAGGGAGAAGCGUUCAUUGCUCUUGUUGCUGUCCUUCCGGAGAAGUGUUUCAUGGGCUUGACUUCUGGGCCUCAAGCCUUACUCUUACUACAUCUGCGUGGUCAGUAAGCACCCUGUGCCAGGAUUUGCAAAGGUGUCAAUUUCUCUCUGUUCACAAGAAAUCUACACUCAGUUACCAUCUUACUCUUGAACCAGGUCAUUUUCAGUCCUGUAGUUCCAUCAGUACUUCGAACUCUUUAGGAGGACCUUGAAAUUCUCGACUGCUUUCUACUAUCCUGGAAUCAGAAUCCUGUGAAAACUGCCCUCUGGCCCAUAUACUUCAUUCCUCUUUCCAUUACUACUGUGCUGUGAGAGAUAUAGCACUUUUUCCCAAACAGGACUUUCUGAAAGGUUUUUGGUUUUUGCAGACUCUUCCACCACCCGCUGAAAAGCUAAGCACCAGCCUGAAGUUUUAAGGGUUACCUUUUAGCUUUUCUUAGGUUUUAUCUUGUUCUACCUCUAGUGUGAAAGGCAGGGAGACUGAAGGGAACUCAGUUUUUUUCCUCAGGACCCAGGCAGUGUCCUUAACCUAGACUCUUCCAUUCUGAAUCUCUGUAUCCCAACCUUCCUAAACCUGAAAGAGUUGGGAUUUCCUUUCCAAGAUAUCUGGAAUUAUGCUUCUCACUAUGAUUAUAAUAUAGUUAAUCCUCCAAAUUUUUUUUUCUUAUGUAAAACUCAGCUUUGGAAAUUCUCAGAAAAUCUUUAACCACUUGAAAGACUGCUUACAAGCUGUAGACUUAAAAAAGACAUCUACUUUCAGAGUGAAAGUUCAGCUUCCCUGUUCUAGGUAGCAUUCUUAGUAACAAGCUUCUGAGCUUAUGGCUAAAUUAACAAUAGUCGUAAUAGCAAGAGGAGGUGUUAGAGGGGUGGGUAGGGUUGGAGGUGGAGUAAAGAAAAGAGAAUAGCAUGAUUUUUAAAAACGGGGCACUGGAUAACAUUUAAGAAGCUACUAUAUUACCUCAAGUACUAAUUGGUAACACUUCAAGGGAAAAGAGUCUGAUUAUGAUCUUUUAGUACCAAUAGUACCCAACAGUUCAUAUAUAAGUUAAUUUUGUUCCUCAAAAAAGCAAGUUAAUCAGAAGUUUUCAGGAAUGAACUGUUUUCUAGGAUAUAAUAAAGAAAUAGUAGUGUUUUCUCAGUAAUUGUUCAUGACUCUGUGAUGAGUAAAAAAGAAAAAUAAGCAUGCCGAAAACUUGGACCUACUGCAUAUUUUUUAGUGUUGUGAAUAAAAUUUUACUGAUGAUAAAACACCACUAAGUAUAGUUUAGGGAUAGUAUUUAUACAAGAGAACAUCUUAUAAAUUAAUGUACAGUCCAUUACAGUCUGAUGAAAUAGUGAAUGCUUUUAUAAUUGUAUGGACUUGUAGAGCUAAAAUAUGACUAGUGAUGAGGCAAAAUAACCUCAUGUCUGAACUAGUGGACUUCCUGCAGAUCUUUGACAGCAAAAUAUAUUUCACUGAAAAUUAUGCCUUCAUAGUUGGGAGAAUACCAUUUUCACCCUAUGUGUGGUAAUGUGAUGGUAGUGUCUGAAAGCAGAAUCUGGGCCAAAUAGGUUAAUUAUAAAUGAAAGAUACUACUCUUUCACUACUCUAGGAUAUUAACUCAACUGAAGGCAUUUAUAAAUGUAGGACAUAUUUUCAAAUAGCUGAGUAUUUUAUUUUAACCAAAGAAUAUUUUUCUAUGGGCUAAAGAUUUGUUGAAACUCAACAAUCUGCCAGUUUUCUUUCACUACUAAUUAUUAGCUUUAAAAGAAACACACUGUUAGAAACU
rnacentral:lncRNA from 1 species